rnacentral:rRNA from 1 species
CCUACGGGAUGCAGCAGUAGGGAAUCUUCGGCAAUGGACGAAAGUCUGACCGAGCAACGCCGCGUGAGUGAAGAAGGUUUUCGGAUCGUAAAACUCUGUUGGUAGAGAAGAACGUAGGUGAGAGUGGAAAGCUCAUCAAGUGACGGUAACUACCCAGAAAGGGACGGCUAACUACGUGCCAGCAGCCGCGGUAAUACGCAGGUCCCGAGCGUUGUCCGGAUUUAUUGGGCGUAAAGCGAGCGCAGGUGGUUUAUUAAGUCUGGUGUAAAAGGCAGUGGCUCAACUAUUGUAUGCAUUGGAAACUGGUAGACUUGAGUGCAGGAGGGGAGAGUGGAAUUCCAUGUGUAGCGGUGAAAUGCGUAGAUAUAUGGAGGAACACCGGUGGCGAAAGCGGCUCUCUGGCCUGUAACUGACACUGAGGCUCGAAAGCGUGGGGAGCAAACAGGAUUAGAUACCCGGGUAGUC